GGGGCCCGAGAAUAAAAAAAAACAAAAUCAAAAUAAACUAAUAGUUCAAAGUCUAUCAGGCCCAAUUUUACAAUUACCAAACCCAAAAAUUAAAAAACCCUAAGCGGCCCGUUGGCCCAAAAACUAAACUCAGUUUCAGUAAAAAUUGAAACCCUAAUCCCAUGUGAGCCUCCACUGCCAUCUGACACCCUUCUGCCUCCCUUGCACCAAAAUGACAAAAAGCCGAAAUCUCCACCGUUGACCUUCACGCCACCUGCAAACAAAAAGAAAAAAGACAGAAACAAACACGCAAAAUAAAAACAGAGGCAGAAACAGUAAUAGAACGGUAGCAUACAGUGUAAUCGUCGCUAUAAAAGCCACAAAAAUAGAUUGUAAUUUUUACAGACAAUCAAAUACAAAAAAAAUGAAGCAAUCAAAAACAGAAGAAAAAGGAAAUCUUUUAUAGGUGGUUUUUUUAUUUUUUCUAUUCAUUUCGUUUUAUUUAUUUAUUUUUAUUUUUUUAAAAAGAACAAACGAAAACAGUAAAAAGGGGAGGAAUAUAAAUCGAAAACAGAAAAAAAUUUCUGAAGGUUUUUUUACUUCUACUUUCGUUUUAAGUUUUUGUUUUAUUUUAUUCUACCUUUUUCGUUUCUUACAUACGACAAUAAAAAAAGAGAAAAGGGAGAAGAAACUCACCUGGUGUUCGAGUUUUCAACACCGUGGACGGUUGAGGUAGCCACUUCUGAU
rnacentral:lncRNA from 1 species